rnacentral:misc_RNA from 1 species
ACUUCCUGGACCCCGUGCAACCUUCUGAACAAAGAAAACUCAAAAAACAAAAGUAGCAGAAAGUUACACGAGACAUAUAUCACUACACGGCCCACAUAAAGUCCCCUGACAACAAUUUUAAUACGACUUUUCUUACUUCCAACUUGACACGAAUAAACUCUUAAUGCUUCUAGGACUAUGGAAUUAGAAUUUUUACACCAGAUACAAAUAUAA